CCUACGGGGCGCAGCAGUGAGGAAUAUUGGUCAAUGGGCGGAAGCCUGAACCAGCCAAGUCGCGUGAGGGAAUAAGGCCCUACGGGUCGUAAACCUCUUUUGCCGGGGAGCAAGGGCCGGGACGCGUCCCGGCCCGGAGAGUACCCGGAGAAAAAGCAUCGGCUAACUCCGUGCCAGCAGCCGCGGUAAUACGGAGGAUGCGAGCGUUAUCCGGAUUUACUGGGUGUAAAGGGCGUGUAGGCGGGCCUGCA
rnacentral:rRNA from 1 species